rnacentral:rRNA from 1 species
ACUCCUACGGGAGGCAGCAGUGGGGAAUUUUGGACAAUGGGCGAAAGCCUGAUCCAGCAAUGCCGCGUGAGUGAAGAAGGCCUUCGGGUUGUAAAGCUCUUUUGUCAGGGAAGAAACGGUGAGAGCUAAUAUCUUUUGCUAAUGACGGUACCUGAAGAAUAAGCACCGGCUAACUACGUGCCAGCAGCCGCGGUAAUACGUAGGGUGCAAGCGUUAAUCGGAAUUACUGGGCGUAAAGCGUGCGCAGGCGGUUUUGUAAGUCUGAUGUGAAAUCCCCGGGCUCAACCUGGGAAUUGCAUUGGAGACUGCAAGGCUAGAAUCUGGCAGAGGGGGGUAGAAUUCCACGUGUAGCAGUGAAAUGCGUAGAUAUGUGGAGGAACACCGAUGGCGAAGGCAGCCCCCUGGGUCAAGAUUGACGCUCAUGCACGAAAGCGUGGGGAGCAAACAGGAUCAGAAACCCGUGUAGUCCCAUG